rnacentral:misc_RNA from 1 species
UUGAAUAAACUUGCCCAGGUUGUUGCUGGCCCUCAUGGGUAUGUGCACGCUUGGCAUCUUUACUUCUCCACCUGUGCACAUAUUGUAGGCCUGGAGUCUGUUGUUGAUUCAUUUCGAGUUGGGACUGCUGUGCUGUUGUAGCCAGCUUUUCCUUGCAUUCUCCAGGUCUAUGUCAUUAUCACAACCUCAUAAUGUGUUUAGAAUGAGACCUAUAAAAGUUAAAUAUA